GCGCACACCAUUCUUUACAAUAAAGAAAACGCCUGAACUGUGCUGUCCUUUUCUCUUUAUUACUACAGAUUAAGGCUGAGGCCGGUAACAUCAACAGUGAGGACAAACCCAGCCUGCCUCUCUCCUUCCACACUGAGACCAAACCUACAGUCACUGGGUUCUGAUUGUAACAGGGGAGCCCAGUUUGCACUACAGGGUCCAGAGAUGGCAUCAGUGAAGCUGGAAGACUGCAGUCAAACACUGGAGCUGAAUGUCAGCAUUAAAGAUGAAGAAGAGGAGGAGAAGAUUGGGAAAUCUGUUUCUCAUGGAGACCAUGUUGAGACAGUCUCUACAUCCAGAGAGCAACAGCAGGAAGAUCACAGAGCUAAGAGGUCUCACCACUGCCCACGUUGUAAGCAGAGUUUCUCAAUUCUAUCAAAGUUAAAAAUACACCUAAAAAUACACACAGGAGAGAAUCUGUAUUCCUGUACUGACUGUGGGAAGAAUUUCACAACAUUAAAAUUUCUGACAGUUCAUGAACGGAUACACACAGGAGAGAAGACCUACUCAUGCUCUAAUUGUGUAAAAUGCUUCACGUCGUCAACUAAGCUAAAAAUUCAUCAGAGAACACACACAGGAGAGAAGCCUUACUUAUGCUCUGACUGUGGAGCUUUUUUCUCUCGACUGGGACACCUAAAAACACAUAAACGUAUACAUACAGGAGAGAAGCCUCACUCCUGCUUGGACUGUGGAAAGAGUUUCUCUCGACUGGGCAACUUAAAAACACAUGAACGUAUGCAUACAGGAGUGAAGCCUUACUCCUGCUCUGACUGUGGAAAGAGUUUCUCUCGACUGGGCCACCUAAAAACACAUGAACGUAUACAUACAGGAGAGAAACCUUACUUCUGCUCUGACUGUUUAAAAUGCUUCGCAACAUCAACUGAGCUAAAAGUUCACCAGAGAACACACACAGGAGAGAAGCCUUACUCCUGCUCUGAUUGUGGAAAAUGCUUCUCAACAUGCUCUGGGCUUGAAGGUCACCGGAGAACACACACAGGAGAGAAGCCUUACUCCUGCUCUAAUUGUGUCAAAAGUUUCACAUCAUCAACUAAGCUAAAAAUUCAUCAGAGAACACACACAGGAGAGAAGCCUUACUUAUGCUCUGACUGUGGGGUGAGUUUCUCUCGACUGGGCCACCUAAACACACAUGAGCGUAUACAUACAGGAGAGAAGCCUUACUCCUGCUCCGACUGUGGAAAGGGCUUCUCUCGACUGUGCAACUUAAAAACACAUGAACGUAUACAUACAGGAGAGAAGCCUUACUUAUGCUCUGACUGUGUAAAAUGUUUCACAACAUCAACUGAGCUUAAAGUUCAUCAGAGAACACACACAGGGGAGAAGCCUUACUCCUGCUCUGAUUGUGUAAAAUGCUUCACAACAUACUCUGGGCUAAUAGGUCAUCAGAGAACACACACAGGAGAGAAGCCUUACUCCUGCUCUGACUGUGUAUGCAUAAGUUCAUGACUGGGAAAAGUUUCUCUACUGGGCCACCUAAAAACAUAAACGUAUGCAUAAAGGAGAGAAGCCUUACACCUGCUCUGACGUUUAAAAAGUUGAUCUCGAAUGGGCCAGUUAAAAAUACAUCAAAUAUACAUCAAAUCAGAAGAGCCUCAUCAGUUCUCAAAGACCAGCUGAGAUUAAAGUCACUCCAUCACUUCAGUCUCGUAAAAUAAGUGAUAACAGUGAGCUGGAUCAAAUGAAGAAAGCGUAGAACAUUUGCAAUCCUAUUGUUUCUCACCGUGAGAGAACAGUGCAGAGGAAAGGGAGCGUUAUAGAAUGUUAGCCUCUCUUUACUUUACUGAUCAGUGUGCACCUUGCCAGUUUGUGUGUUUUGUUAGCUUCUACUGUAAAGAUAUUGAGAUGACCUUGGAUUUGCCCUUAGGGUUGAAUGUCCUCUGUGAGGCGUCUCACAAUGGAGUGGUUGACUGGGUGGUACUGCUUCCCUGAGCUGGUGGAUACAACAUACACUGAGUGUAUAAAACAUUAAGGACACCUGCUCUUUCCAUCACAUAGACUGACCAGCUGAACCCAGAUGAAAACUAUGAUCCUUAAUGAUCUAGUUUUUGUGUAUUUAUUAUGGAUCCCCAUUAGCUUUCAGCAAAAAAACAAGAAACUGCGGUUGCAGUGGGCUAAGGAUUGAAAACACUGGACACUGGAAAAUUUGAAAGAUAUUGCCUGGUCUGAUGAAUCCCUGUUCCUGCUGUGUCAUGCUGAUGGGAGGACUAGGGUAUGCAGGAAACCAUGAGUACAUGUAUCCCUGCUGUGUGUCAACAUUGCAGGCUGGUGGUGAAGGGGGGGAGUGUGUUUUCAUGGCACAUAUUGGACCCCUUGAAAGAAGUGGAGCAACAUUUGAAUGUCACAGGAUAUCUAAACAUCAUUGCCAAUCAGGUGCAUCCCUUCAUGGCAGCAGUGUAUCCAUCUGCAAAUAGAUUUCUUCAGCAGGAUUACGCCACAAGGCUUUCCAGGAAUGGUUCCAAGAACAUGACAGUGAAUUCAGUUUACUGCAGUGGCUUGACGAGUCACCAGAUCUCAAUCCAAAUGUGCAUCUGUGGGAGGAGAUGGAAGGAGCUAUUCGGAGUAGAGAUCCACUCCCAGCCAACUUGACACAAUUGUGGGAAACAUUGGAGUCAACAUGGGCCAGAAUCCCUGUGAACGCUCUCAACACCUUGGGAGUCCAUGCCCCAACGACUUGAGGAUGUUCUGAGGACAAAGGGGGCUGCAACUCAAUAUUAGGAAGGUGUUCCUAAUGUUUUGUGCACUCGGUGUAUAUCAGAUAAAGAUGAUGUGAUGAUCAGUUUUCAGCAUUAGUUUGGGUGGAUUAUUUCAUAUUACUAAAUACCUUUUGUUUAAUGAUAGACUAUGAAUCGACUACUUGUGUUAUUUAAAUUUUAUUUUAAUAUUAGAUUCAAUAUUUUAGUCAUUGAUGAUGAAUGUAUUUGAAUAACUGUAUUGAAUAUAAUUGAUCUGGCGGCAGGUAGCCUAGCGGUUAAGUGUUGGGCCAGUAACUGAAAGGUCGCUGGUUUGAAUCCCGAGCCGACUAGGUGAAUAAUCUGUCAUUGUGCCCUUGAGCAAGUCAAUUAACCCUUAAUGUUUCCUGUAAAUCGCUCUGGAUAAGAGCAUCUGCUAAAUGACAAGGAUGUUAUGAAAAAUGUUUGUACAUUAAUUUUAAAAAAUACCUUUAUUUAACUAGUCACGUCAACUAGAACAAAUUCUUACUUUCAAUGACGGCCUAGGAACAGUGGGUUAACUGCUUUGUUCAGGGGGAGAAUAACAGUUUUUUACCUUGUCAGCUUGGGGAUUUGAUCUUACAACCUUUCGGUUACUAGUCCAACGCUCUAACCACUAGGCUACCUGCCUCCUUUACACUCUAACCACUAGGCUACCUGCCUCCUUUACACUCUAACCACUAGGCUACCUGCCUCCUUUACACUCUAACCACUAGGCUACCUGCCUCCUUUACACUCUAACCACUAGGCUACCUGCCUCCUUUACACUCUAACCACUAGGCUACCUGCCUCCUUUACACUCUAACCACUAGGCUACCUGCCUCCUUUACACUCUAACCACUAGGCUACCCUGCCACCCCGAUGGGCAACCACUUUUUUUUCUCUUGUGUAUAAUUAAAUUAUAAUUAUAAUUAAAUGUUUGAAGUGAAAUACUGUAUAUACAAUACACAACAUUACCACUUUGUUUACCCUGGCCAGAGGGACAGGACCAUAGUAAACGAGACUAUGUAGCUGCUGUUGUUAGUAGCCUACAGUUUCCAUGCAAUACAGCAUGUCAGAUCGCUAAUGAGGUGUAUAGCUGCUACAUUUAUGCAAGAGUUUUUGCUUGUGUCUGUCGGGAGUGAUGUAUUAUCAGCUUGCUAAAUAACUAAUGGUGGGAAGUGGAGAGCGCGUCUUGAUCUUUGUGCCCGGCCCGUCCGACAUGGUCAAGAGACGCAGAGAACCUGCAGCAGCACUCUGAUGUGAAGAACAGCCCUUACAAAAAUGUAGGAUUGUAGUAUAAUGAAAACAAUAUAGCAUGGUAUUGUCGUGGAAUGGUAGUGACCAAACGUAUAUAUUUUAUUGUACUGGGCCUAGAAACAUAGAAGAAACUGCCAGUUGUGUCAUAAUAGCCUGGAAGUAAAGCUGCACUGGGACACAUUUGAAAUGGAAUACAUUGAAAACAUUCAGCAGGGUGGAAACAAUCACAGUAAAACAUGAUUUAAAUGUAUUGUUGGAAGGGCUGUGGUCACUAUUCAUGUAAUACAUUAAAUAUAUACAUCAGAUGGUAUUGGGGAACUAUUUCAUAGGGUUUUCAUAGGUACAUUAAUCACCCAUUUCAAUCUUAUACCAACCAACCCUGUGCUUGGUGUGACUGUUAUGGUCAGAGCAGACCAUCUGAUAUGCCCUUAAAUAUUAUAAUAUGCAACCUGGAAUUAAAAUGUAAGAGGACCAGUGCUUCUAUAGUGAAUCACAUCUGUGCUGUUUGAGAGAGAUGUUGUUAGACUACAUUGUAUCGUUGUUUCCUCUUCUGAGUGCACUGGUGGGGAACAACAUUUCAAUUCACAUAGUGCAAACUUGAAAGAUUCAUUGUCUAUGUCCACACGCUUGAAUUAUCUGAAUUGUGAUGAAGAUGGGGGAAAUUGAAUUGGCAAGUCUUGUCAUACCCAGCCAAUCAGCAUUCAGGGCUGAACCACCCAGUUUAGAAUUUACUAGAUACAACGGGUCUUGGCAACUAGGUGUGGCCUCCAGUCAAUUUGUUGCUGAGUUUGGAACUAGUCUGCGGGCCAGAAAAUAAUUAGCCUAUUAACAAAUAGCCUAUAGCUUCCCAAUUCAUAGUCCUACACAGUGUAGGCUACACUACACAUUUAACACGUGGUUAGUGGGAUAAACAAUUCAAUGACCAUAACAUAAUGUUGAUCUGAUUACAGUGGUAAAAUCACCUAUGUCUAAAUUAAUAGUCCUACCUGUUCUUUUAAAAUAUAUGGUUAUAUAUGGUUUUACAAAUACGGUCAUGUUACACGUUUUGGAAAAUGAAAUCUCUUGAAACAGCUUUUUAUCUGAAUAUCUUCUUCACUCUCUGGAAACGAGAUCUAAUAGUGGCUGAGACCAAACUAUUUAAGAAUUAAAGAUUUUUAUUGGUUUCGUUGAAUUUUUAAUUUUACUAGGCAAGUCAGUUAAGAACAAAUUCUUAUUUUCAAUGACGGCCUAGGAACAGUGGGUUAACUGCCUGUUCAGGGGCAGAACGACAGAUUUGUACCUUGUCAGCUCAGGGAUUCGAACUUGCAACCUUUCAGUUACUAGUCCAACUCUCUAACCACUAGGCUACCCUGCUACCCCAUACCCAAACCUAAGGGGAAAUGUCAUUACCACUACGUCAUAAAAUGAGCUAUUUAAGUUGGAAAGGAAAUUACAGAAAUUGUACUUAAGGUGUUUUAUAUAACAUUUCACAUGAAUUGUAUAUUUUUUUGUUGUUGACAAUUUGGAAUUUUUCUUAAUUAUAUGUAUUCAUCAUUGUCGUGUCUAAAUGUCCAUAUUUGCCUUGAUGAUACUCAGAAACAUGUAUUUACCACAUCAAAAUCUUAAUAUUUAAUAUUUUAAUAAACAGGAGAUAUGACUGACUUGCUUAAACAAAUGUGGUUUCUACUGACUCCUUGUGGAUUUGUAUAAGUGGAUAAGAAACGCCUAGUUAAAUACAGGUUAAAUAACAAUAGAAUAUGUACGUCUAAUAACAUCUUGUUUCCAGAAGAUAUUCAGAUAAAAAGCAGUUUCAAGAGGUUUCAUUUUCCAAAACAUUUAACAUCCAAAAGUGCCCGUAUUUGUAAAAUCAACCAUAUAUUGUAACAGAACAGGAAGUCCUAUUAAUAUAGACAUUGGUGAAUUUACCACUGUAAUCAGAUGGACAUUGUUAUGUUAUUGUCAUUGAAUUGAUUAGCUCACUAACUACAAUUAUUUUUGUUUGUUUAUUUCACCUUUAUUUAACCAGGUAAGCUAGUUGAGAACAAGUUCUCAUUUAGAACUGCGACCUGGCCAAGAUAAAGCAUAGCAAUUCGACACAAACAACAACAGAGUUACACAUGGAAUAAACAAAACAUACAGUCAAUAAUACAGUAGAAAAAAAGAAAACAAAAAGUAUAUAUACAGUGAGUGCAAAUGAGGUAAGAUAAGGGAGGUAAGGCAAUAAAUAGACCACGGUUGUCGAAGUAAUUACAAUAUAGCAAUUAAACACUGGAAUGGUAGAUGUGCAGAAGAUGAAUGUGUAAGUAGAAAAACUGGGGUGCAAAGGAGCAAGAUAAAUAAAUACAGUAUGGGGAUGAGGUAGGUAGAUAGAUGGGCUGUUUACAGAUGGGCUAUGUACAGGUGCAGUGAUCUGUGAGCUGCUCUGGCAGCUGGUGCUUAAUGCUAGUGAGGGAGAUAUGAGUCUCCAGCUUCAGUGAUUUUUGCAGUUCGUUCCAGUCAUUGGCAGCAGAGAACUGGAAGGAAAGGCGACCAAAGGAGGAAUUGGCUUUGGGGGUGACCAGUGAGAUAUACAAUCAGCUAUCAUAGUCAAUAUAAUGGUGACCGACUUGACCAGCACUAUCUAGCCAUCACUGACACUAACAUGAACUUGCUCAAUGUGAAAAUACAAUAUAGAUCAUGAUUGUAACAAAUUAAAACGUAUCAACGCCUGAUUUAUAAUUACAACGACAGGGGGUGUACUGUUCCUGGAGGUACUUCAAUACCAGGUCGAUGCGUGGAGUGGAUGGAGCAAGCCCCUAUUCCAUCUCCCUGUUCCAAAAAUCAAUUUAAUAUAUGGUCCUCAGAUAGGGGACGUAUCAGAUAUUAAACGGAUAAGAACAGAUUUAAAAAUAUAUAUAUAUUUUUUUCAUUUCUCUAUGAAUGUACUCAUAAAAUGAUUUCCAAAACCAAAUUUUUCCAGAACUCUAAAUAAAAACUCAUGCUUUACCAUGUCAAAAGAGUUUUCCUGGUCCAAAUUUACAGUAAUGGCUGGCAGGUGCCUUGCCUCUAAAUACGCUUGAACAUCUCUGUGCAAUUGCAAGUUCCAGGUUCAUUUUCUCCCCUCCCCUCCCCACCACACCACAUGUUUGGUCUAAACCAACAACAUAUGCCAUGGCAGAAGAUAGGCGAUUAGUUAUGGCUUUGCUUGAUCAUUUAUAGUCAAAACACAACAUUGUUAAAGGCCUCCAAUUUGCUAAUGUCUUGGGGUCUCCCUUUAAAAUCUCCCCCCAUAAACACCUGUCUGUUUGUCAUAAAAAAAUAGCGUCUAGGUCGUUAAGCAUUUCCCUCCUUUCCUUGGGUGUCGAUGGUGCAUAUACAUUAAUAAAUCGAAAACAUUUACCCCUCCAAUCGAUAUUUACUAUUAAAACCCUCCCGUGUCCAGACGAAAAACGUCCUACUAUUUUAAAUCCCUAUUCCCACAUAGCACACCAACCCUUGUAGAAUGCACCCCGCCGACACUCCACCUCGACCCUCCCUGAACCCAUUCCCGCGUAAACCUAACAUUUAUACUAGCUAGGUUAAAAACAGACGACAUGGGAUAAGGAGGGAAACGGACAACUAUCUAAAUAUGACAUUAUUCUCCAGACGCACUUUAAGUACAGUUCCUCGUUCGGAGGCCUGUCUGAGAAACGAUGGUCCCCAGCGGGAGGACUGUCCACAAGGAUAGGGGACGAGAAAACCCUGUCCUCCUCAGAAUGCUUCCCCCCCAUCUGUGUGGGUGCUGGAACACCGCUGGGUGCCAGACCGCUGCUGUCGAUCGAGCUUUCUGGCAGGGAAGCAUCUCUGCGCUGCCCGGGUUUCCCUCGCUUUUCUUCUCAGACUUCCCGCUUGUAAAACAACUUAAGGAAUUCCCCCCAGAACGGACUUCUCAGUCGCUUCCGUGCGGAUUAGUGGGGAAACAGGGCCCAUCUGCUUCGUCUUGACAGAGCACACCCUCCUCUCUCCCGCCGUUGUGCUCUCCCUAAUCUUCCUCCACUUGCUUGAUCCAACUCCUGUCCGCCUCUCCGCUCUCCUCGUGAGAUGAAGAUGGCGCCUCACUCCUGCUCUCCUUGGACUCUCGUAGUUCUCUCUCCAUCACUAGCUCAUCCACAACCCCCUCAAUAGCGAGGUGCCCGUACGUGCUCCAAUUCCUGCAGAAACGAGCCUGUCCAGCAUACAUGAGGUCGCCCCUGUCUGCAUAUUAACAGCGAAAUUGGAAUAAUAAUAUAUCACGGGGGGGGGGGGGGGUAAAACAAUUUGGAGAUAAUAAUAUUGAACAUUUGAUCGUGUAUCAAAUAUCUCUGGUAGCGUUGCUGCCACAACAGAACUGAAGCAAUUGUCCACUUGGUGUCGCCAGAGUUCCACCAACCGUUGCUUUUUCCAAGCUGUCCCGUGUGGUACAUCAAACUGCAUGACUUCAAUACAUCAUCAAUGCAAAUUAUGUGAAUAGCCUAUGUAUUUUUUUUCUGUAGAGCGUUGUAUGAUAAGGCAGACCACUGCGCCACCCGGGAGGCCAUUACUCCCUCUUUUAAAAGGAAAAAAAUAUCCUUCACAUAUUUAGUCAGUUUAUCUACUGUUUAUUAUUUCUCCAGUGGAUGUAAAUGCUGGUGUUAUAUGUAGAGGAGAACGCAAUCAUUUGGAAAGGUGGAAUUAUUGAAUAAUAUGUUAAUAACACUAUUAACAAUUUACCACUAUCAAAAGGAACAAUGUAUUUUUACCUCUAGAUUUGAUAUUUUAUUUUGUAUUUUUUCUAGCUAUUUACCAAAACGUAUUACUGUGUUGAUAAUUUAUUUGAAAUAAUGAUUGUGCUUUUAAUAUAUAUAUGUAUAUAUAUAUUAAAUUGUAUCUUCUAAGGAAGGGUCAAAUUUGGACUUUUCAGUAGUCAUUAGAAGUUAGAAACAGGAAUGUAUAUUUAGGGUUUGAACUAACGGGUUGCCUCCCACAAUGUAGACAAUGGCUGUUGCGAUUGAACCACAUGAUUAAAGAUGCUGUCUUCGUCUCAGCUUAGACUUCCCUUAGAGUGUACGUCAGAGGUUCAAACUGUAGAACCCAGUUCCUAAACUAUGCUACAUUUUUAUCUCUGAGGCCAUCAGGAUGACGAAUCAGAGCAACAUUACUGAAUGUAAGUAUUUUAUUUACCUUCAGAGGGAAUGUAAUUAAACCAGUUGCCGAAAUAAGUGUUUUGUUGUUGUGCACUCUCCUCAAACAAUAGCAUGGCAUUGUUUCUCUGUAAAUUGGACACUGUAGUUAGAUUAACAAGAAUUAACAAGAAUAUAAAUAAAGACCAUAUAAAGACAUGUCUGUCCCGGAAAGUUGGCUGUUGUAUACAGAGUCAUUCUAGUCACAUUAGAGCACGUCAACAACAAUCAUCCCGGUUUAGGGACAGCAAUCCCGUAGAGGUUAUUAAACUGUAUGUACUUAAUAUUUGAAUGAAAUAAAAUGGUUUUAAAAUUGUAUCUCAUCCCUUAAUUAAUGGGAAGAUCUCGUUCUCUCUCCCACCCGGGUCUUUAACGAAGAAAAAAGACUUACGGAAAAGCCGUGUGUGUGUGUGUGUGUGU